GAACGGAAAGGCCCUGCUUUUGUGGGGUGCUCGAGUGGCGAACGGGUGAGUAACACGUGAGUAACCUGCCCUUGACUUUGGGAUAACUUCAGGAAACUGGGGCUAAUACCGGAUAGGAGCUCCUGCUGCAUGGUGGGGGUUGGAAAGUUUCGGCGGUUGGGGAUGGACUCGCGGCUUAUCAGCUUGUUGGUGGGGUAGUGGCUUACCAAGGCUUUGACGGGUAGCCGGCCUGAGAGGGUGACCGGCCACAUUGGGACUGAGAUACGGCCCAGACUCCUACGGGAGGCAGCAGUGGGGAAUAUUGCACAAUGGGCGGAAGCCUGAUGCAGCAACGCCGCGUGCGGGAUGACGGCCUUCGGGUUGUAAACCGCUUUCGCCUGUGACGAAGCGUGAGUGACGGUAAUGGGUAAAGAAGCACCGGCUAACUACGUGCCAGCAGCCGCGGUGAUACGUAGGGUGCGAGCGUUGUCCGGAUUUAUUGGGCGUAAAGGGCUCGUAGGUGGUUGAUCGCGUCGGAAGUGUAAUCUUGGGGCUUAACCCUGAGCGUGCU
rnacentral:rRNA from 1 species